rnacentral:rRNA from 1 species
AUUUAAGUCGGGAAAGUUUUUCGCUAAGAGAUCGGUCUAUAUCCCAUCAGUUAGUUGGUAAGGUAACGGCUUACCAAGGCAAUGACGGGUAGCGGGUUUGAGAGGAUGAUCCGCCACACUGGUACUGAGACACGGACCAGACUCCUACGGGAGGCAGCAGUGAGGAAUAUUGCACAAUGGAGGAAACUCUGAUGCAGCAACGCCGCGUGGAGGAUGACGCAUUUCGGUGUGUAAACUCCUUUUAUCAAGGAAGAAAAUGACGGUACUUGAUGAAUAAGCACCGGCUAACUCCGUGCCAGCAGCCGCGGUAAUACGGAGGGUGCAAGCGUUACUCGGAAUCACUGGGCGUAAAGGACACGUAGGCGGGAUGCCAAGUCUGAUGUGAAAUCCUAUGGCUUAACCAUAGAACUGCAUUGGAAACUGGUAACCUAGAGUAUGGGAGGGGGAGAUGGAAUUAGUGGUGUAGGGG